UACGGAGGGUGCAAGCAUUAAUCGGAUUUAUUGGGCGUAAAGGGCGCGUAGGCGGGUUUGUAAGUCAGAUGUGAAAUUCCGGAGCUCAACUUCGGAGCUGCAUUUGAAACUGCAAGUCUAGAGGAGUGGCGGAGAAAAUGGAAUUCCACGUGUAGCGGUGAAAUGCGUAGAUAUGUGGAAGAACACCAGUGGCGAAAGCGGUUUUCUAGCUUAUUCCUGACGCUGAGGCGCGAGAGCAAGGGGAGCAAACAGG
rnacentral:rRNA from 2 species